UCAGGACGAACGCUGGCGGCGUGCCUAAUACAUGCAAGUCGAGCGAACAGAAGGGAGCUUGCUCCCGGAUGUUAGCGGCGGACGGGUGAGUAACACGUGGGUAACCUGCCUGUAAGACUGGGAUAACUCCGGGAAACCGGAGCUAAUACCGGAUAGUUCCUUGAACCGCAUGGUUCAAGGAUGAAAGACGGUUUCGGCUGUCACUUACAGAUGGACCCGCGGCGCAUUAGCUAGUUGGUGGGGUAAUGGCUCACCAAGGCGACGAUGCGUAGCCGACCUGAGAGGGUGAUCGGCCACACUGGGACUGAGACACGGCCCAGACUCCUACGGGAGGCAGCAGUAGGGAAUCUUCCGCAAUGGACGAAAGUCUGACGGAGCAACGCCGCGUGAGUGAUGAAGGUUUUCGGAUCGUAAAGCUCUGUUGUUAGGGAAGAACAAGUGCGAGAGUAACUGCUCGCACCUUGACGGUACCUAACCAGAAAGCCACGGCUAACUACGUGCCAGCAGCCGCGGUAAUACGUAGGUGGCAAGCGUUGUCCGGAAUUAUUGGGCGUAAAGGGCUCGCAGGCGGUUUCUUAAGUCUGAUGUGAAAGCCCCCGGCUCAACCGGGGAGGGUCAUUGGAAACUGGGAAACUUGAGUGCAGAAGAGGAGAGUGGAAUUCCACGUGUAGCGGUGAAAUGCGUAGAGAUGUGGAGGAACACCAGUGGCGAAGGCGACUCUCUGGUCUGUAACUGACGCUGAGGAGCGAAAGCGUGGGGAGCGAACAGGAUUAGAUACCCUGGUAGUCCACGCCGUAAACGAUGAGUGCUAAGUGUUAGGGGGUUUCCGCCCCUUAGUGCUGCAGCUAACGCAUUAAGCACUCCGCCUGGGGAGUACGGUCGCAAGACUGAAACUCAAAGGAAUUGACGGGGGCCCGCACAAGCGGUGGAGCAUGUGGUUUAAUUCGAAGCAACGCGAAGAACCUUACCAGGUCUUGACAUCCUCUGACAACCCUAGAGAUAGGGCUUUCCCUUCGGGGACAGAGUGACAGGUGGUGCAUGGUUGUCGUCAGCUCGUGUCGUGAGAUGUUGGGUUAAGUCCCGCAACGAGCGCAACCCUUGAUCUUAGUUGCCAGCAUUUAGUUGGGCACUCUAAGGUGACUGCCGGUGACAAACCGGAGGAAGGUGGGGAUGACGUCAAAUCAUCAUGCCCCUUAUGACCUGGGCUACACACGUGCUACAAUGGACAGAACAAAGGGCUGCGAGACCGCAAGGUUUAGCCAAUCCCAUAAAUCUGUUCUCAGUUCGGAUCGCAGUCUGCAACUCGACUGCGUGAAGCUGGAAUCGCUAGUAAUCGCGGAUCAGCAUGCCGC
rnacentral:rRNA from 1 species